GCUCUGCCUCCCUGACAACCAUGUUGGGCCCUUCUGUUGGGACUUGGUUGCUGUUGGUUGCUAAAGGAGGCCAACAGAGGAGUAGAUACACCCAUGGCAUAUCAGUGCACAGCUUCCUGAGUUGGAGAGCUCCGUAGAGAUCAUUUAGGGCAGAGGUUUUCCAAAUGUGGGCUCCAACCAGCAGCAACCAUACCUCCUGGGGACUCAGGAGAAAUGUCCCUCUUCAGACCUACUGAGGCAGGAACUGGGAAGAAGAUUCUUCAAGAGGCUGCCACAUCCGACCUUGGCUUUGAAACUAACUGCAGCACCAGGAGAGGACCCUGGCCAAGAGUCUUGAUCUUCUGCAAGGUGAUACGGUGAAAGGUGAAAAGAAGACACAAAGAUCCACAGCAAAACAGAGAACUGGGAUGGACCACACCGAGCAUGUGGUGAGGACUCCAAGCAACCAGGACUGCCAGUAUUUAUUGAUUAUACAAGUAUGAGUAAAAUAGCGUCGGGGGAUAUGUGUGGCAUCUGGUGAUAUCAGCUGUCACAGGCAAGGCUUGAAAAGGGGGC
ensembl:lncRNA